UAUGCUUUAAUAAUUAUAGGUGAUCCUUACAAACAUACGGGGUAUUGUUGAUGACACUCUCAAGCAUUUUGACGUAAGCGAGAAUGUACGCAUCCAUUUAGAGAGUACGCUCGCUGGAGAUGGGCCACACGGGAAGCUGUUGUCUGGUCUAGAAACGAACCAUUUGCAGAUGAAGUAUUACAGGCAGUACUUCAACUUUGUGGUAAAUUUAUUACUAUAAUACCUAUUACGCUGGGAAGUUGUGAUUGGUCAUUUACUAAUAGGAGCCACGGACAGUGACCCUUGGUAGUGUGAGAAAGUAUGUGGGCAGCGGUGCAAAACGACAAUGCGUAGAAAAGGAUGAGACAAUGAUGUACUCCAGUACUGCAUACAUCUGAAGAGAUACUUUCGGUUGUCAUUUCUCAAUGACCUGAUCAGCAACUUUGAGCUGGGAUAUAUGGAGUCAACAAAACGUCCCACCCCAAUCAAAAAGAGCACCCUACACUCUAGUGAUCACUCUUUGAAGCAGAAUGGUUAGUACAGAUGUGAAGUACUUGUACGUGUAAUGUAGCUUGUAAUCUUGCAGCAUCUCAGAUGUGGUUACUUGGUCGGAUUUUGCCCUUGAUGGUUGGUCACUUAGUUCCAGAAGAUGAUGACAAAUGGACAAACCUUAUGCUUAUGCUUCAAAUCACUGGCUAUCUGUUUGCACCUAGAUUGACAUCCGAUGAGGCAGAUUAUGUGGCUCUACUAAUUGAGGAGCAUCACUGUGCUUUUUGUAAGCUGUAUCCAGAUGUUAGUAUCACCCCUAAGUUCCACUACUUGGUGCACAUGUCGAGACUUAUUAAAAAGUUUGGGCCAAUUGUCCGUGGUUGGACCAUGAGGUUCGAGGCUAGACAUAGGCACUUUAAGCAACUGGCCCUGCAGCUGGGCAACUUUAUCAAUAUCCCAUUCACCUUGGCUAUGCGUCACCAAAAGCUUCAAUGUUAUCACCAGCUCAGUGACACACUUGAAGGGGAAGAGGUCGAUAUUGGUCCCGGUCCACACGAUACUGGCAGAGGUGGUUGAGGGGCUCUCAUCUUCACACAGCACUGAAUUGUUCAGGGCGAAGUGGGUGGAAGUGUAUGGAACCAAGUACAAGAAGCCAUGUGCACUUGUUGUUGGUGUCAAGUAUGGUGUCCUACCUCAGUUUGGUAACCUCGAGGACAUUCUGUUCGACAAGGAUGAACUAAUUUUGAUUGUUCGACUAUACAAAACAAUUGAGUUUGCUAGCCAUUUCAACUGCUUUAUUGUAGAACUAUCUACUGAGCUUGUCACCAUUACUCAAGGUGCAUUAUAUUCACAUGAGCCUCAUCAUGUACGUUGUGUCCAAGGCCUUACUACUGGUACACAAAGAGCAGUUGUUCUCAAAACACAUUUAUCUUCAUUAUAGUUUUGUACCAAUUAUUAGUCUUUUCAGUAGUCAAUGACAUAUUGAAUGGU